rnacentral:lncRNA from 1 species
GACAAUAUAAAAACGUUAUAUCUCAAUAAUGUUCAUAACACAAAAUUCGUUUCAAUCUAUACCAAACAAUUUCUUUUCAUCAAAAUUUCCCGACUUAUGAAUUUCUUAAACUUGGCCCCUGCCAGAAUCAUUCUCACGGGUACCUUCGUCAAGGUAUCCCACUAAGAUCGCCAAGGCUGUUCAAUGACCCAUACCCAUAAACAUAUUUUCACAUCUAACACACAGCCAUUCCUUGGCAUUGGUUGAGUCUCACUCUCACGUGGUGGCCCGAACGUGAGGUGCACUCAAAUCAUAGCUCAGGAGAUACUUCACCUAACAUCUCCCCCCGGAGGUAAGUAUAUAAUUGAGUUAUCGUGCCCCUCUCAUAGGUAUUCCAUGGAAACCCCCACCACUGCAGUGACCGUUUAAUAUACCACCAGACCCAUAAAAAUUCCAGUAACAUAAUGUGGCAAAUAAAAUGUAAUCCACUCUACCGAGACCAAUCAAAAACUAUUCAUAUAUUUCAUGCCAAGCCCAAAAAUUUAGCCAUCAUGCUACCAUAGUGUCAUAAGCCCCAAUUUCAAUAACAUAUAAAAUCAUAAAUUUCAACACAGUCUCCAUAUACUCAAUUUUCCCAAAACAAUAUAUGAUUUCAAAACCAGAAUAAAUUUCAUUUUUAUUAAAAAAACAUUUUAAUUAGAAAACAUAAUAUUUUAUAAUUUAAGCUCACCAUUCAAUAAAAACAUCAAACAAGUAUAAUUACUCUAGAUAUUUAAGACGAUAAAUUGUCCACUCACAGUUCUAGGAGUUGAUAUACUCCUAACCCCAAUCUUCAAGCACAAUCUCUGUAUUUUUACCAGUGUAAUUUGCUCACCACCUAUCCACAAUGUACAAUACAUAAUUCACCACAUUAAUGCUUGACCAUUAUAAAAUCAAUUCAGGCUCGGUGUAUAUGCAUGAUAUGACAUGCAACUUAUCCGACUACAGCUUAAAUGCGGUGUUGACCUAAUUCGGCCUAUUAUCUCCAAUUUAACUCCAAAUCAAUUUUUCUCACUUUCUACACUCCAAUUAUACUUAAAUUACCUUAGUGACUGUGAAUGAGAUUCAAUUUAUCAGUCCCGAUAGCAAAUUACAAAAAUACCCCUAGUGGGUAAAAAUUCUUAUUUUUGCUCCGAAAAUUCCCAUUAGUUUUCUAGGCUCAUAAUUCAUCAUUAUUCAUCAUAAUUCCUCAAAUAAACAUCAAGAUCAUCAGCUAAUAUUCCCCUAGAAAUUCGGCCAAUAAUGGUACACUAAUUUCGUGAUUUUUCCUACUUAAUUUUCUCUCCAUAAUUCAUUAAUUCCUACACCAAAAACUAUUAUUUCUUAAUCAAAUCACCCAGAAUAACAUCCCAUUCUUCCUCUUUAUUCACUUAGAGAAUUCGGCUAUUGAUGGGUUCCAAACCUUUUGUGGUUUUCUUCACUUGUUUUCAUGCUACACAUCAUUAAUCACCUAAAAACACUAACAUACCUAAAAAUCAAACCAAUCCAAGAUCAUUCUCUCUCCAUACCCAUUUUGACCAGCCAUGAAUUCAUCAUGAAAACAUGUAAUUUAACCAUGGAAAUUAAGGAAAAAUGCAUGGGUAAGGUAAAUCACUAGCAAAAUCAAAGAAAUUUUACCUUUGCUUGAUCAAAUCCUUGAAUUCCAACACUUUUUCUUUGAUUUUUCCCACCUAGGGUUUGUUCUUCCUUGGUUUCUCUUCUCUUUUGGUUUGGCUGAUCACUAUGGGAGAAAUGGGCUGAUUUUUUGCCUUUUUAUAAAGAAAUAAUAAAAUAAUAAAAACAUGACACAUGGCAUUUCCUUAUUGGUUCAAAUUUUAAAUAUUUGACUUUUAAUUCUUUAAUUCUCCACCACACAUUUCUCAUGUUUAUCCAUUUCCAUGAUGAAUAAAAUCCCUUGGUCUGGACAAAUGUUGAGGUGAAAAUUUACCGAAUUUGCCCCCGAGGUGGUAAAAUUACCAUUUCGCCCCUAUACUCCAAAUUAUAUUGAAAUUAAAAUUUUUCACUUCUAAACUUCAAAUCAUACUCCAAUAAGUCAAAUAGGGCCAAAAAAAAUCUUUUCUAAAAAUUCCCAUUUUGUCCCCAAGUGGCAAAUGACCAUUUUGCCCCUAGAUAGUGAAAAUUUCGGUUUGACUCCAAAUUGAUCCUCGAACUCCGAAUUACCAUUUUGAGUCAUCCCUGAACUGUGACACUCUUAAUUUCACCUUAAAGUUCCUAUUUGAACUAGUUGAGGCUUAAUCGACUUAAUGACACCAUUAGGGGCAAUAUCGUCUUUUAACGAUUUUUCAAACUUCCUAAAUAUGUAACCAUUCUAUUGAGCAUGUAAAUGACAUCGUAAUUAUUUUAUAGAACAUGGUUUGACAACACUACCCCCCUUAAAAUAAAAUUUUAUUCUCAAAAUUUCUCUUAUCAAACUAAAAAAAAAGGUGGGGUAUUUUCUACCAUUAUUUCCACAUACUUCCUGUUUAUCUCACAAGUAUAGAAUAUCAAUCUUCUUAAUCAUAUUAAUCCAUCUCGCAUAGCUUAACCAUGCUAUAGAUCACAAUUCCUUGACAUUAUCUCCUUGACUAUUUCCCAGAGUCUCUUAUGUUCACAUAGUUCAAUUUCUGAUAAAAUUUUUUAUCAUUGUACUACCUACAUCACUCAUCAUAUAUUAAGUUUGAAUCUUAAUUCAUUAAAAAUCAUUCUUCAUUUUAGUUGAUCACAAUAUCAACCCCACAUAUGUGUAUAUGCUUUAUAAUCCCAUUUAUGCUUCCAAGAUCUAUCUUGAUUUGAUCAUUGAAUACGAUGCAAUAUCACAAUUCCUUAGAGUCAUCCCUUUGUCCUCAAUCAUCUUUCAUGCCUUUAUAUUGCUUUGUAUCCCAUCCUCAUACUUAUAUAACAUGUCAGUCAUGAGUCUAACUUGACUGUAUAGCCAUUUGCUCCUUAAGCUUUAAUGUUUUCUCAUUGCGAAAAGUCUUUCAAAUUUAUCACAACAGAGUAUUCAUAAGGUGGAUACAUAUCCAUAUUUUAUAGUUCAAGGUCUAACGCAGUGAACACUGUCUCAUUAUUAAAGUUCUACCCUUAUCUAUCGAUCAUAGCUCCCUUGCACACUUACCUAUACAUUCCUAGGUUACCUACAAGCCACUCAUGGCCAUCCAACUUUUGCCCUCUUAUAGUAAGUCAAACUAAUAUAUUCUCUUAUGCUUUUCCAUACGCUUUCUUAAUAAAGUUUCACUCUUUCAUACGAAUAUAACAUCAUUCUUCCUUAACCAAUUUACAAAUUGUACUUGAAAUUGCAAGACUUAAAACUAGAUUCUCCUCAAGUACUUUUCAAUAUUAAUACUAAUAUCACUCUCAACUUAUAGCUUCCUUUUUAUAAUCACAUAACUUAGUGCUUGCUUUUACAAGAUCCACGGCAGAACUUCUCUUGAGUAUUUCCUUAGAGAUAUUUAUCUUAAACUUAUGUCUCAUAACAUGUGAUCACUUAACCCGUAACUUAGCCAUUUAUGUGGCAUUCUCUUCGAGGCCCACUCUAAGGUAUUGUUAUAUCUGUAUCGAUCCCCUUGGCUUCCCGACCCUGCAGGACCACAUACACCAAGUAUCGAACCCCAGACCUUUUACUUCCCCCGAAGGGAACGCCUUUAACCAUUUCAGCUUUAACUCAUUCAUAUUGAUACCUUCCAAAACCUUAAAACUCCAAUUACCAAAACUUAGAAUCAAGUUCAAUGACCUUAGGUCAACUCGUGAAUUCAACUUCACAUUUGUCUCAUUUUAUUCAUGCGUCUUAGACAUGAAGUGUUCUUAGCACCGCGGCACGGUGGCUAUUAGAGUUUACUUGAUCAAUGUUAUUCAUCUAUAUUUAAGGUUACUACACUAAUCAUUCUCAACCGUUUGGUUUCCCUUCAAGCUUACAUCACAAUUUUCAUAACCAUUUAUAUCCUUUUGUGCUUAUCACAUAUAAUAAGUAAAAUAGAUACUUUCAAAUUCAUCUCAUCCUAUUCAAUCUAACUUGACUUAACCUAACUCGGGGCCACGCAAUGUCAGUGUGGAUUUCUUAAAACAACUUUAAAAUCGAAAACUUUAAAAUCCAAAGCUUUAAAAUCAAAAUCUCUGAUCUUUAAACCAUGCUCUGAUACCACUUUAAUUGUCACGACCCGAAACUCUUAUCGAGCCCGUGACAACCUCCGCGACGUCCCAAUAGGCACUCAUUACCCCGAAUGCCCAUCGAAACCCCACAAGGCUUAGCAUCAGCUUCUGUAUCUCCCCAGUGAGCGAUGAUUAUUAAAUCUCACAUUUCAAAAAAAUCAAAAGUCAUUUCCAAAUCAAAACAAUAAAAUAUUACUUUCUAGCUCACAAGGGCAUUUUCGUCAUUUUUCUUCGAAAAUAUCGAAACUCGCCAAAAACAUGGUGUAAAAGCUAAAUAUAUUCAUACAUACUUUAAAUAAAAUAACUGAAGAAUAAAAUUACUUUUACAGUGACACGUGGGCCCCCGACUGACUAAGAAGAUGUAGGGCUACGAACCCUUACUUUCUAGGAUGCAACUCUGAGAUUAAUUCUCGUCUUAAUCAACUGUCAACAAAUUGUCAUGAGCCUGAAAAAUGGAUAGGAAGAGGGGUGAGAUUAUGAUUACAUAAUCUCAGUGAGUAAACAAUUACAAUCAAAAGCAUCUAAAGCCGAAUAGAUGGAGACAAUAUAAAAACGUUAUAUCUCAAUAAUGUUCAUAACACAAAAUUCGUUUCAAUCUAUACCAAACAAUUUCUUUUCAUCAAAAUUUCCCGGCUUAUGAAUUUCUUAAACUUGACCCCUGCUAGAAUCAUUCUCGCGGGUACCUUCGUCAAGGUAUCCCACUGAAACCGCCAAGGCUGUUCAAUGACCCAUACCCAUAAACAUAUUUUCACAUCUGACACACAGCCGUUCCUUGACGUUGGCUGAGUCUCACUCUCACGUGGUGGCCCGAAC